rnacentral:rRNA from 1 species
CGGACGGGUGAGUAACACGUGGAUAACCUACCUAUAAGACUGGGAUAACUUCGGGAAACCGGAGCUAAUACCGGAUAACAUGUUGAACCGCAUGGUUCAACAGUGAAAGACGGUCUUGCUGUCACCUAUAGAUGGAUCCGCGUCGCAUUGGCUAGUUGGUAAGGUAACGGCUUACCAAGGCAACGAUGCGUAGCCGACCUGAGAGGGUGAUCGGCCACACUGGAACUGAGACACGGUCCAG